GACGAACGCUGGCGGCGUGCCUAAUACAUGCAAGUCGAACGCUUCUUUCCUCCCGAGUGCUUGCACUCAAUUGGAAGGAGGAGUGGCGGACGGGUGAGUAACACGUGGGUAACCUACCCAUCAGAGGGGGAUAACACUUGGAAACAGGUGCUAAUACCGCAUAACAGUUUAUGCCGCAUGGCAUAAGAGUGAAGGGCGCUUUCGGGUGUCGCUGAUGGAUGGACCCGCGGUGCAUUAGCUAGUUGGUGAGGUAACGGCUCACCAAGGCCACGAUGCAUAGCCGACCUGAGAGGGUGAUCGGCCACACUGGGACUGAGACACGGCCCAGACUCCUACGGGAGGCAGCAGUAGGGAAUCUUCGGCAAUGGACGAAAGUCUGACCGAGCAACGCCGCGUGAGUGAAGAAGGUUUUCGGAUCGUAAAACUCUGUUGUUAGAGAAGAACAAGGACGUUAGUAACUGAACGUCCCCUGACGGUAUCUAACCAGAAAGCCACGGCUAACUACGUG
rnacentral:rRNA from 1 species